rnacentral:rRNA from 1 species
GACGUAGGGCGCGAGCGUUGUCCGGAUUUAUUGGGCGUAAAGAGCUCGUAGGUGGUUUGUCGCGUCUGCCGUGAAAGCCCGGGGCUUAACUCCGGGUCUGCGGUGGAUACGGGCAGACUAGAGGCAGGUAGGGGAGAACGGAAUUCCCGGUGUAGCGGUGAAAUGCGCAGAUAUCGGGAGGGACACCGGUGGCGAAGGCGGUUCUCUGGGCCUGUACUGACGCUGAGGAGCGAAAGCGUGGGAGCGAACAGG